AGAGGACGGUCGGCCACACUGGAACUGAGACACGGUCCAGACACCUACGGGUGGCAGCAGUCGAGAAUCAUUCACAAUGGGGGAAACCCUGAUGGUGCGACGCCGCGUGGGGGAUGAAUGGCUUCGGUCAGUAAACCCCUGUCAUUAGUGAACAAACCUUUUAAAGUAAUAUUUUGAAAGCUGAUAGUAGCUAAAGAGGAAGGGACGGCUAACUCUGUGCCAGCAGCCGCGGUAAUACAGAGGUCCCAAGCGUUGUUCGGAUUCACUGGGCGUAAAGAGUGCGUAGGUGGCUAGGUAAGUUUGAUGUGAAAGCUCCGAGCUCAACUCGGAAAUUGCAUUGAAAACUGCUUGGCUAGAGGGUCGGAAGGGAGACUGGAAUUUUCGGUGUAGCAGUGAAAUGCGUAGAUAUCGAGAGGAACACCAGUGGCGAAGGCGAGUCUCUGGACGAAUCCUGACACUGAGGCACGAAAGCUAGGGUAGCAAACAGGAUUAGAUACCCUGGUAGUCCACGCCGUAAACGAUGUCUACUAGCCGUUGGGAUCCUUGAGAUCUUAGUGGCGCAGCUAACGCACUAAGUAGACCGCCUGGGGAGUACGGUCGCAAGAUUAAAACUCAAAUGAAUUGACGGGGGCCCGCACAAGCGGUGGAGCAUGUGGUUUAAUUCGAAGCAACGCGAAGAACCUUACCUACUCUUGACAUCUAGAGAACUUGGCAGAGAUGCCUUGGUGCCUUCGGGAACUCUAAGACAGGUGCUGCAUGGCUGUCGUCAGCUCGUGUCGUGAGAUGUUGGGUUAAGUCCCGCAACGAGCGCAACCCUUGUCCUUAGUUGCCAGCAUUUGGUUGGGCACUUUAAGGAGACUGCCGGUGACAAACCGGAGGAAGGUGGGGAUGACGUCAAGUCAUCAUGGCCUUUAUGUCCAGGGCUACACACGUGCUACAAUGGGCGGUACAAUACGCUGCAAACCCGCGAGGGGGAGCCAAUCGUAAAAAACCGCUCUCAGUUCGGAUUGCAGGCUGCAACUCGCCUGCAUGAAGCUGGAAUCGCUAGUAAUCGCAAAUCAGCACGUUGCGGUGAAUACGUUCCCGGGCCUUGUACACACCGCCCGUCACACCAUGGAAAUUAGUUAUGCUCAAAGUCAUUCCUUUAACCAUUUA
rnacentral:rRNA from 1 species